GGAUGCGUGGCAAAGUCCGGUUUAUUGCGCCGUCCUCGAAAGCGGCCCGUGGACAUUUUGCCGACGAAUGUCUGCACAAGACAGAAGCCAGCAAUGGUUCGCGGGUUCGAAUCCCGCCGCUUCCUCCA
rnacentral:tRNA from 1 species